UAUAUACUCCCUCCGUUCCUAAAUAUUUGUCUUUCUAGAGAUGUCAAAUGGUUACCACAUACGGAUGUAUAUAGACAUAUUUUAGAGUAUAGAUUCACUCAUUUUGCUCCGUAUGUAGUCACUUGUUGAAACCUCUAGAAAGACAAAUAUUUAGGAACGGAGGGAGUAUAUA
rnacentral:pre_miRNA from 1 species